CCUCAAGCUUGGCCCAAAUAAGCUCUCCGCUUAGAUUAACUUUGCCUCAACUUCUUCCUUUUAGGUCAACAUACCUGGCCUAAGGAGGCAGGAUUGAGUGACUCUCACUCACCACUGGUGUUGCUCUUUGAAAGUGGCGCUUGGCACCAGCAUGAACUCCCCAUCCUCAGCAAUCCCAUCAGGUGUUUUGGGUCUUCAACCUAAAAUUCUAUCUUACAAGAUCCUUGCCAGGAUGCAGAUUUGAAUACUAUAGUGAAGUCUGUACAUGAAGAAAUGAUGCUUUUAGGGAGGAAAAAAAAAGGUAAUAACAACCUUCAAGAGCCCCUUCAUCUCAACUCGGCAUAAACAAGGCAAGAUUCUGAGAGUGGCCGCCCCUGGAAGCAGAAAUUAUUCUUGUGGCUAUCCAUUGGCUCCUGAGGCUCUAAUCAGAGAUGGGGCACCUUUAGUACCAGGGGAGUGACUGUUGCCCAUAAGGUACUGGACAUCAAC
rnacentral:lncRNA from 1 species